rnacentral:rRNA from 1 species
GAUGAACGCUGGCGGCGUGCCUAAUACAUGCAAGUCGAGCGAACAGACGAGGAGCUUGCUCCUCUGACGUUAGCGGCGGACGGGUGAGUAACACGUGGAUAACCUAUCUAUAAGACUGGGAUAACUUCGAGAAACCGGAGCUAAUACCGGAUAAUAUAUUGAACCGCAUGGUUCAAUAGUGAAAGACGGUUUUGCUGUCACUUAUAGAUGGAUCCGCGCCGCAUUAGCUAGUUGGUAAGGUAACGGCUUACCAAGGCAACGAUGCGUAGCCGACCUGAGAGGGUGAUCGGCCACACUGGAACUGAGACACGGUCCAGACUCCUACGGGAGGCAGCAGUAGGGAAUCUUCCGCAAUGGGCGAAAGCCUGACGGAGCAACGCCGCGUGAGUGAUGAAGGUCUUCGGAUCGUAAAACUCUGUUAUUAGGGAAGAACAAAUGUGUAAGUAACUAUGCACGUCUUGACGGUACCUAAUCAGAAAGCCACGGCUAACUACGUG